GGUCAGGUGGUAUAGUGGUAACACCCAUGCUAUAUAUGCAGAAGCCCUGGGUUCAAUUCCCAGUCUGGCCA